UCGAGAAUAAUUCACAAUGGACGAAAGUCUGAUGGUGCAACGCCGCGUGGAGGAUGAAGGUCUUCGGAUUGUAAACUCCUGUCAUCGGGGAGUAAGACCUGGCGGUAAAUAGCCGACAGGGUUGAUAGUACCCGAAGAGGAAGGGACGGCUAACUUCGUGCCAGCAGCCGCGGUAAUACGAAGGUCCCAAGCGUUGUUCGGAAUCACUGGGCGUAAAGGGAGCGUAGGCGGCGUGGUAAGUCAGAUGUGAAAUCCCGGGGCUCAACCCCGGAACUGCAUCCGAUACUGCCAUGCUUGAGGGUUGGAGAGGUAGCUGGAAUUCUCGGUGUAGCAGUGAAAUGCGUGGAUAUCGAGAGGAACACUCGUGGCGAAGGCGAGCUACUGGACAACAUCUGACGCUGAGGCUCGAAGGCUAGGGGAGCAAAAG
rnacentral:rRNA from 1 species